rnacentral:rRNA from 1 species
GACGAACGCUGGCGGCGUGCCUAAUACAUGCAAGUCGAACGCUGAAGGAGGAGCUUGCUUCUCCGGAUGAGUUGCGAACGGGUGAGUAACGCGUAGGUAACCUGCCUGGUAGCGGGGGAUAACUAUUGGAAACGAUAGCUAAUACCGCAUAAGAGUAGAUGUCGCAUGACAUUUGCUUAAAAGGUGCAACUGCACCACUACCAGAUGGACCUGCGUUGUAUUAGCUAGUUGGUGAGGUAACGGCUCACCAAGGCAACGAUACAUAGCCGACCUGAGAGGGUGAUCGGCCACACUGGGACUGAGACACGGCCCAGACUCCUACGGGAGGCAGCAGUAGGGAAUCUUCGGCAAUGGACGGAAGUCUAACCGAGCAACGCCGCGUGAGUGAAGAAGGUUUUCGGAUCGUAAAGCUCUGUUGUAAGAGAAGAACGAGUGUGAGAGUGGAAAGUUCACACUGUGACGGUAUCUUACCAGAAAGGGACGGCUAACUACGUG